rnacentral:rRNA from 1 species
UACAGAGGUCUCAAGCGUUGUUCGGAUUCAUUGGGCGUAAAGGGUGCGUAGGCGGCGCGGUAAGUCGGGUGUGAAAUCUCGGAGCUUAACUCCGAAACUGCAUUCGAUACUGCCGUGCUUGAGGACUGGAGAGGAGACUGGAAUUUACGGUGUAGCGGUGAAAUGCGUAGAUAUCGUAAGGAAGACCAGUGGCGAAGGCGGAUCUCUGGACAGUUCCUGACGCUGAGGCGCGAAGGCCAGGGGAGCAAACGGG